GAAGCAAGCAGUCUCUUGCAGGUGGCAGAGGGAGCUAAGAGGGACUCACCGGAGAGGAAGAGGGCUCAGGCUGGAACUACACGAACCCAAAGCCUGCGCUGGUCAGGUGGUAACGGUUGGGUUUAACUUCUGAUCGGCCAGAGGAUGGCAGAAGAGAGAAGAAAAGCGGCAAGUGAUACUAGCGGUGACAUGGUGGAGUCAAUGCUGCCUUCUCUGGUGACAGCAGAAGAUAACAGGAGAGCUCCCAGUAAAUCAGUAUUUUGUUAUCUACUUGGUGCAUUGCCUAGGAAUGACUGGACUUCAUUUUGCUGGGCUCUGCACAAAAACAGAGAGAGAGACUGCCUCUGCCCCAUCUGAGAUCAGAGUACUUGAAGGCUAAAUGUACCUUGACCUUUUCCCCUUUUGUAAUUUCUACAAAAUAGGAGAGAGUCAUAGUUUCAAGUAGAUGUUCUUUGGUUGGUCUUGGCAAAGAUCUGCAAACUUACUCUUGUCAACCAAAUCCCCAAACCUUUCAGUCAAAACCUGCAAGACUCAAACAUUUAGAAUGGCUAUUCUUAACCUUGAGGAGCCAGGAGAUCCGUUCAAGGGCAUUAUUACAUCAGCACUGGCAGGUGUGACAGCACCUACACAUGAGUUUCAGCA